AUUGAACGCUGGCGGCAGGCCUAACACAUGCAAGUCGAGCGAGCGGCGGACGGGUGAGUAAUGUCUGGGAAACUGCCUGAUGGAGGGGGAUAACUACUGGAAACGGUAGCUAAUACCGCAUACCAUCAGAUGUGCCCAGAUGGGAUUAGCUAGUAGGUGGGGUAAGGGCUCAACUAGGUGACGAUCCCUAGCUGGUCUGAGAGGAUGACCGGCAACACAUGAACUGGGACACGGUCCAUACGCCUCCGGGCGGCAGCAGUGGGGAAUAUUGCAAAAUGGGCGCAAUCCUGAUGCAGCCAUGCCGCGUGUGUGAAGAAGGCCUUCGGGUUGUAAAGCUCUUUCAGCGAGGAAGCGUUACUCGCAGAAUAAGCACCGGCUAACUCCGUGCCAGCAGCCGCGGUAAUAC
rnacentral:rRNA from 1 species